CCCCACUCCGCCAAUCUGGGCCGUCCUGGCUGGCUUCUAGCUCCCUGUGGUUUCUGGAAGGCUGAGAGCCGACAGACAGCAGACCGAGGCGGGCGUCAGGGAUGCAGCCUCUCUCGGCUUGAUGCUGGCCGGAACAGGUCUUUUGUCGGCCAUCGUCGUGCCUGGAACCCAGAACUGGGGGCGCAGAGAAAGCAAAACAACCAGGAUAGAUGUGGCUUGGAAGGGUACAAAACAAAAAACCGGAAAGAGCGGACCUGACUUGCUGAAGCUCACACAACCAGCAACUGAGCCAGGAUUCGAACCUCUGUCAUUCUGACUCCCUGACCUGCUUUAUUUCUGCUCUGUUCCACUUGGCUCACAAAUCGUCUUCCUCGUGAACUCCUAUUCAUCCUUCAAAACCCAAUGUAAACGUGUUCUCUCUUAUGUGAAGCCUGCCCCCCUCAUUCUCUCCAUCCACCUCACCCAGGCAAGGUUAGUCAUUAUUAGAAUUCUAAAUGAAGUUCUUUUUUUUUUUUUUAACGUUUAUUUAUUUUUGAGAGACAGAGCGCGAGCAGGAGAGGGGCAGAGGGAGAGAGAGGGAGACACAGAAUCCGAAGCAGGC